rnacentral:SRP_RNA from 1 species
UCUUUAGACCCUUUCAAUCGUAUCUAAAGACAACGCCCCAGGGUGGGAACACAGCAAGGCACCUUUUUUUGUGGUGUGAUUGGGUAUCUGGAGAAGA